rnacentral:rRNA from 1 species
GAUGAACGCUAGCUACAGGCUUAACACAUGCAAGUCGAGGGGUAACGAGAGGAAAGCUUGCUUUCCUUGUCGACGACCGGCGCACGGGUGAGUAACGCGUAUCCAACCUGCCCCCAACUAAGGAAUAACCUUGCGAAAGUAAGACUAAUACCUUAUAAUUUCCUCAGAUGUCAUCUGACGAGGAAUAAAGAUUUAUCGGUUGUGGAUGGGGAUGCGUCUGAUUAGCUUGUUGGCGGGGUAACGGCCCACAAAGGCAACGAUCAGUAGGGGUUCUGAGAGGAAUGUCCCCCACAUUGGAACUGAGACACGGGCCAAACUCCUACUGGAGGCAGCAGUGAGGAAUAUUGGUCAAUGGGCGAAAGCCUGAACCAGCCAAGUAGCGUGCAGGAUUACGGCCCUAUGGGUUGUAAACUGCUUUUAUACAGGAAUAAAGUUAGCCACGUGUGGUUAUUUGUAGGUACUGUAUGAAUAAGGACCGGCUAAUUCCGUGCCAGCCGCCGCCGUAA